GUCCAGCUGACGAGUCUCAAAUAGGACGAAACACGCGUCAAACUGGAU
rnacentral:hammerhead_ribozyme from 1 species